AAUGUUGUUAUAUAAAUCAAUUUGUCAGCCACAAGGUAAGCUCUUCCAAUUACUAUGUGUACAUGUAUUAAGAUUCCAAUGGGAAACAAAUCUUGUCUAAUAUAUGGAUUCUCACUUUUAAGUCAAACAUUGCCACCAGUUAGAAGAGUAGAUUGUAUGAUCUUUUAGUUCUGUAAAAGGACAUUGGAGAAGUUGUAAGAGGGAUUUCAUGGUAAAUAACAUUACUGGAAUAGGGUUGUAUGAUCAUGUAGCUGAUUUCAUCUAACAAGGUGUAUCUAUCAGGAAAUCAUGUUACAACUAGACUUCAUUUGAACGCCCUUCAAAGGGUGUUCUUUAUUGUCAUAUCAUAUCACAUUACAUUUUCCAUUAACCAUGUCUGUCUCAACCACAAUAAGAUAAUUUAACUUAUAAAUAACUUUAAAUAGAAUAUGAUGCUUUAAAACAUAUCAGUAUCCAAUAAUCAAGCUCGGCUUUCCAAAGCAAAUGCAGCAGAGUCAACAUGUAGGAGCAAACAAGAAUAAACUCUUUGCUUCAAUCUGUCAACAGUUUCAAACAUCUCUUCAUUUUCCAAAUUUGUAGUGUUUCUCAGUUUCUCUAACCAUUCAUUUGCUUGCUUAAGGUGUGACAACGUGAGAGCUAUAUGAUUUGCAUGAUUCUUUUUCUUCCCUGCAGUCUCCUUACUCGUCUUUCCCCUCUUCUCUUGGGAGCUUGUGGAAAACCAGAAAUCCAAUGUUUUUUCCAAGUAUUUCAAAAACCAUAAUUUUGUUUCCAUCAAAAGGACCUCUCUCAGUUCAUUUAUCUCUUCUAGACCAUUUCCUGUGGCCCAUUCUUGUUUCUCAGUGUCGGAUAAAUCUGGUGAGUAUUUUGGAGACUUUGAUGAACUUUUCCCAGGCACUAAAACUGAUUUCUUGUAAUUUUUAUCUGUUUCUGUAGGAGAAGAAGUUUUAUAUAGAUUAAGUAAUUUAUCCGUGUGUGGAACUGUGCUUGUACCAUUUGAAUGGUUCAUCAUGAGUUCUUGGAAAGAAAAA
rnacentral:lncRNA from 1 species